UCCGGUUUGACACCGGCAGUCUCGCUAGAGUACUCGCCAUGACGCGUGAGCAACUAACGACAGGGUUGCGCUCGUUAAGGGACUUAACCCGACGCUUCACAGCACGAGCUGACGACAGCCAUGCAGCACCUGUGAUCGUUCCACCCUUGCGGGCGUGGCUCCUGUUUCCAGGAGUUAAUCCGACCAUGUCAAACCCAGGUAAGGUUCUUCGCGUUGCCUCGAAUUAAGCAACAUGCUCCACCGCUUGUGUGAGCCCCCGUCAAUUCCUUUGGGUUUUAAUCUUGCGACCGUACUCCCCAGGCGGAGAGCUUAAUGCGUUAGCUGCGCCACUGAGAGAUAAAUCUCCCAACGGCUAGCUCUCAUAGUUUACGGCGUGGACUAC
rnacentral:misc_RNA from 1 species